rnacentral:rRNA from 1 species
UGUAGUACUCAGUAAUGAUCCCGUCUACGCUUAAUCUGCGGAGGGAUCAUUA